rnacentral:lncRNA from 10 species
GGGCUGGGACGCGGCCGGACCGCUGGAGCCGUGCGGGCUGGGGAAGAAGGUUUAUGGGAUGCAGGAUAAUGGAGCAUGCUCUAUCUGGGACAUUGCUAGUCUUAUGACAGAGGGAGAAGACAGCGAUGGUAAGUCUGCCUUUUAAGCUUUCACCUGGAAUUGAUGUAUCACUGGCUAAUCCAAAUCACCUGGUCACUUCUGAGUUUAACAGGGCAAGGAUCUGAAAUCCUUCUAUUACAGCAUGUCUAUAAGGCUGACAUCACAAAUCAUGGCCAAGACUCAUAUCAAUGGGAUGAAGAAGUAGAAUCCACCCCAAUGCAGGAAUAGCAAAUAUUUUGAACAAUAAUACAACCUAUUUCAAAAGGAACCUUCUUAUAGAAGGGAGCAGAAAGAAUGCUCAGGACAGUAUGUGUGCAACGGUCUCAGAAGCAACAACUUGGGAUUGAGAAGGAUAGGUAAGAGAGCCCCAAGAGGAAGGUCAGGUUGGAAGGUGGGUGGGUGACAUCUGUUGCUUUUCUGACAGGUUUAGUUAUUAGAUAGCUGCCUCUCUGGGUGGGCACUAGAAGAUAGGGAG